UAGGGAAUAUUGGACAAUGAGCGAAAGCUUGAUCCAGCCAUGCCGCGUGUGUGAUGACGGCCUUCGGGUUGUAAAGCACUUUAGGUAAUGAGGAAAAAUUAGAUGUUAAUACCACCUAAUCAUGACGUUAAUUACAGAAUAAGCACCGGCUAAAUCCGUGCCAGCAGCCGCGGUAAUACGGAUGGUGCAAGCGUUAAUCGGAAUUACUGGGCGUAAAGCGCGCGUAGGUGGCACACCAAGUUAGAUGUGAAAUCCCAGGGCUUAACCUUGGAACUGCAUCUAAAACUGGUGAGCUAGAGUAUUAGAGAGGAAAGUAGAAUUCUUAGUGUAGCGGUGGAAUGCGUAGAUAUUAAGAGGAAUACCAAUGGCGAAGGCAACUUUCUGGAUAAAUACUGACACUGAGGUGCGAAAGCGUGGGGAGCAAACAGG
rnacentral:rRNA from 1 species